AACGAACGCUGGCGGCGUGCCUAACACAUGCAAGUCGUGCGAGAAAGUUCCUCGGGAGCGAGUAAAGCGGCGCACGGGUGAGUAACACGUAGGUAACCUGCCCCCCAGUCUGGAACAACUAGAGGAAACUCUAGCUAAUGCCGGAUGAGACCACGAUCCCUUCGGGGGUUGCGGCCAAAGAUGGCCUCUACUUGUAAGCCAUCGCUGAGGGAUGGGCCUGCGGGCCAUUAGCUUGUUGGUGAGGUAACGGCUCACCAAGGCUGUGAUGGCUAGCUGGUCUGAGAGGAUGACCAGCCACACUGGGACUGAGACACGGCCCAGACUCCUACGGGAGGCAGCAGUGGGGAAUACUGCGCAAUGGGCGAAAGCCUGACGCAGCGACGCCGCGUGGGUGAUGAAGGCCUUCGGGUCGUAAAGCCCUGUCGCAGGGGAAGAAUAAGCAUCGGUAUAAUACGCCGGUGCCCUGACGGUACCCUGCAAGAAAGCACCGGCUAACUCCGUG
rnacentral:rRNA from 1 species